AUGUUUAUAGCCCCUAAAACAUGGGCUCGCCAUUUUGACUCUCUCCUCCCUCCCGUUUCGCACGCAACAAAAAAGCAGGCAGGCCCUCAAACACCGGGGGAGGGCUGGCCGGCGGCUGGAGGCUCUGGAUCGUCCGCCUGUUUGUCCACGACUCGAGGUGCUUUCUUCUUCAUUUUCUCUAGAGGGGUUGAUCAAUGGAUUCGUGGACUUGCUUUUGCUACACUGGCCGCUGAUUGCCAUCCUCUCCUCAUUUUUCUUCUUGUUUUUCCCCGCUCAAGAAGCACCCGCCAUCUGUUCGACGGAAUGCGCAAGAAGAAGCCCGCCGCGAGCAGCAAGAAUCGCUUCGGCGACCUGCCCGACGACCUCCUCCGGCACGUGUUGUCCUUUCUGCCGGCGGGUGAUGCCCUGCAGACCUGCGUGCUCGACACCAGGUGGCGCGACCACUGGAGUUUCCCGAGCUUGGAACGUUUCAAACAGAUCGUCAAGCUCUUCAUCCACCUCCGUGGAAACUCACCUCUCGCAAUAUUGAUCGAUUUAUGCGACACACCAUUGACGGUCCAUCGCUCGCGGGUCAGUGGACGGCCGGAGGUGGCCAUGCCUCACGGCUCAUAUCCUGACCGAAGAUCGCAGGUGGAGGACAGGAGUCGCUCGCGGCUCGCCGGACAGCCGGAGGUGGCCCUGUCUCACGCCUCACGCCCUGGCCAAAGAUCGCAGGCGGAGGACAGGAUGAGGCUGUGGCGGAGGGAGAAAAGGCUGUUGAUCGAGUAUGCUCUAAAGUGCCAAGUAAAGGAACUCCUAGUCGGCAUUGAUGUUGAUGAUGAUGACGGUGAUUUUGACGAUGACAACAACCCACUAAAACUCGAUGUGUUUCUUAUCUCCCAGCACUUGAAGACCCUGCACCUUAAAUUGGUUAACCUCAAACGUUUCGCUCUGGAUUUGUCGAGCUGCCCAGCAUUAGAGGAUCUAGAGAUGCAACAUUGUGACAUUGAUGCUCGCAGGAUAUCUUCCAAAUCACUACAACGGCUAUGCAUUACCGACAUUUGUUCCUUCCCCGCAGACUUCCGUGUUCGGAUAUUUGCCCCUGGUCUUAUCUCACUGCACCUUUAUGGUUUUAGGGGAUUGACCCCUUCAUUUGAAUACAUUCCAUUACUAGAAACAGCUUAUGUUUGGGUUGACUAUGGGUGCAAUGAUUCUUGUCGUAGUAACCAGCAGGGUUGUGAGCUUGAGAAAUGUGGUUGUCAUGCUUAUCCCAUUGACGAGGGCGUGCUUCUCCAUGGUUUAUCCGAUGUUGCGAAUUUGGAGUUGCUAGCUGAUAAUAGUACUGUUUCCUGGGACAGUCAUGAAAUUGAAGUGUCUAUCUACAGAUGGGAUUUAAAAUGUUGUCCCAUAUUUGACAAACUGAAGCCUCAGUUGCUCAAUGAGUGGUUUACGACUAGUGGCCUAGCGUGCAUUCUCCGACACUCUCCAAUUCUUGAGAUGCUCACUCUUCAGCUUAAUAAAACUAAGGUUGUCAACAUUGAAUGUAAAAAGGUUGAUGAGAGAAUCCGCAAAAUUUUGAAGACCUUGAGUGCAUGUGUCAUACUUCAUGAGCAAAUUAGCAUCACGGAGCAAUGUCCUUACUCAUGCCGUGGUGGGAGGGUUUUAGUUUUGAGAAGCCUCCUCGGCCCCUGCUUCGUCCUACUGCGGAACCAGACGCAUGCUCCAGUUUCCACCCUUGAUGGCGCUAGAUAUGCGGUGAUGGUUGUGCUCCGGCUCACGGUCCUUCUUGAAGAUGUUGUCUUGGAGUUUGGUUGCAAGUUCUACUGUUGCUUGCCGCGGAAUGCCAGGGCGACAUGUUGCAGAGAACAUUUUAGUGGUAGUUGUCUGCAGCUCGUCGGAGAAGCUCACUGGAGAGGCUCAUCGACGUGCUUGCCGGUGCUAAGCACGGGCGGCGGCGAUUGGAGGAGCACGAUGUGUAGCUCGCCAGAGAAAGCUCGCCGGCGUGCUAGUCAGCAGCGAGCACCAAUGGCGGCAGUCGAAGCAGCACGGAGAGGCAGCGACUCGACGAGAUCUCGAGGCAGUCGGAGCAACAUUUGGAGGCGUACUCGACACCCUGCAGACCUGCGUGCUCAACACCCGGUGGCGCGACAUCUGGAGGCGUAUCACCAACCUGCUCCUAGUUCUUGA
rnacentral:rRNA from 1 species